GUGAGGAAUAUUGCGCAAUGGAGGCAACUCUGACGCAGCCAUGCCGCGUGCAGGAAGAAGGCGCUACGCGUUGUAAACUGCUUUUAACCGGGAAGAAACCCCAGGACGUGUCCUGGGUUGACGGUACCGGAGGAAUAAGCACCGGCUAACUUCGUGCCAGCAGCCGCGGUAAUACGAAGGGUGCAAGCGUUAUCCGGAUUCAUUGGGUUGAAAGGGUGCGUAGGCGGAGCGUUAAGUCAGUGGUGAAAUCCUGCAGCUUAACUGUAGACUUGCCAUUGAUACUGGCGCUCUUGAGUGCGCUUGAAGUGGGCGGAAUGUGCCGUGUAGCGGUGAAAUGCUUAGAUAUGGCACAGAACACCAAUUGCGAAGGCAGCUCACUAAGGCGAUACUGACGCUGAGGCACGAAAGCGUGGGGAUCGAACAGGAUUAGAUACCCUGGUAGUCC
rnacentral:rRNA from 1 species